GGACCGGAGUGGACGCAUCACUGGUGUUCGGGUUGUCAUGCCAAUGGCACUGCCCGGUAGCUAAAUGCGGAAGAGAUAAGUGCUGAAAGCAUCUAAGCACGAAACUUGCCCCGAGAUGAGUUCUCCCUGAGACUUUAAGUCUCCUGAAGGAACGUUAAAGACGAUGACGUUGAUAGGCCGGGUGUGUAAGCGCAGCGAUGCGUUGAGCUAACCGGUACUAAUGAACCGU
rnacentral:rRNA from 1 species